GGGGCGGGGUAGGAUGGGGCGCAGCGGCGGAGCCCAGAGCCCGGGACCAUCGUGCGGCCCGCGGCCUGCGCUGUCUUUGCUCCUCGGGGCGCCGGCGGGUGACUGGAAGUUGCCAAAUCUCUAGGGAGGCGGGGAGCCUCCCGGGACCCGCGGCCGCCGCCGUCGCCGUCCGCUGGGCAGCGAGGUUCCUGCGGCCCGAUGAGCCGGCCCAGCGGGAGCAGCCGCGACGGCGGCGACCAAGAGCGGGAGCCGGGUGGCCCGCGGCGGCAGGGGAGGGUCCCCGCGGCCUGUAGGGGGCAGCGCCGAGCCCGGGAGGAGGCGGCGGCGGCGGGGUGGGCGAGUCACGGCCGCCCUGCCCGCCGUGCGCUUACCCGGCGCCGCCGGCUUCGGCGGGGACCCGGGGGAAUCUUCCGAGAAUCCUGCUGCCGCGACUGUAACCGUGAGCGAGGCGAGCUCGAAACCAACAGCACAUCUAAA